GGUGUGAACGUCACACGUUGAGCGGCGCAUGGAAGUUCGUCACCAUCGCUGUUGGACCUGCUGGAGCUUUCGAGGUUCUGAUCGGUUCCAUUUUUGUUUGGGUUCAAAUUCAGACUCUCGGCGUCGGCCUACAAAGCCAGUUAUCGAUAAACAAACACCGUGAGGAUUUCGUUCAUCUUAAGACGAACACCGGAAACCGCUCAGUAAAGCGAAAGUUGAGAGUCGAGAUGAGUGUGGAGGCGUACGGGCCGAGCUCGCAGACCCUCACCUUCUUGGACACUGAGGAAACGGAGUUGCUCGGAGCGGACACCCAGGGCUCCGAGUACGACUUCACCGACUUCACUCUUCCCAGCCAGACGCAAACUCAAGGCCAGACCCAGAGCCAGCUGGACGGGCAGGUAAAUGGUCCUGAUGAGGGUCUUCACAACGGUGGAGUGGAUGACUCCGUGGCCAAAGCCAGCCAGCUGUUGGCCGAGCUCAACUUUGAGGAGGAUGAAGAAGACACAUACUACACCAAAGACCUGCCUGUGCAUGCAUGCAGUUACUGUGGUAUCCACGAUCCAGCGUGUGUGGUGUACUGCAAUACCAGCAAGAAGUGGUUCUGUAAUGGACGUGGCAACACAUCUGGCAGUCACAUUGUGAACCACUUGGUGAGAGCCAAGUGCAAAGAGGUGACGCUGCAUAAAGAUGGGCCGCUGGGCGAGACGGUGCUGGAGUGUUACAACUGCGGCUGUCGCAAUGUCUUCCUCCUGGGCUUCAUCCCGGCCAAGGCCGAUUCCGUGGUGGUGCUACUCUGCAGGCAGCCCUGUGCCAGCCAGAGUAGCCUGAAGGACAUCAACUGGGACAGCUCGCAGUGGCAACCACUGAUCCAGGACCGCUGCUUUCUGUCCUGGCUGGUGAAGAUCCCAUCGGAGCAGGAGCAGCUUCGGGCCCGCCAGAUCACUGCCCAGCAGAUCAACAAGCUGGAGGAGCUCUGGAAGGACAAUCCCAGUGCCACCUUGGAAGACCUCGAGAAACCGGGAGUGGACGAGGAGCCCCAGCAUGUGCUGCUACGCUAUGAGGACGCCUACCAGUACCAAAAUAUCUUUGGCCCUUUGGUCAAACUAGAGGCAGACUACGACAAGAAGCUUAAGGAGUCCCAGACUCAAGACAAUAUAACAGUCAGGUGGGACCUGGGACUGAAUAAAAAGCGGAUUGCCUAUUUCACACUGCCCAAGACGGAUUCAGGUGAUAUGCGGCUGAUGCAAGGUGAUGAGAUCUGCUUGCGAUACAAGGGAGACCUGGCCCCGCUGUGGAAAGGCAUCGGUCAUGUCAUCAAAGUCCCUGACAACUAUGGGGAUGAAAUUGCCAUUGAGUUGCGGAGCAGUGUGGGAGCACCUGUGGAAAUCCCCCACAACUUCCAGGUGGACUUUGUGUGGAAGUCCACUUCCUUUGACAGGAUGCAGAGCGCCCUCAAAACGUUUGCAGUGGAUGAGACCUCCGUGUCUGGCUACAUUUAUCACAAACUGUUGGGCCACGAGGUUGAGGAUGUCACCAUCAAGUGCCAGCUGCCAAAGCGCUUCACGGCCCAGGGCCUGCCCGACCUCAAUCACUCACAGGUGUACGCUGUGAAGACGGUGCUGCAGAGGCCUCUCAGUCUGAUCCAGGGUCCUCCUGGCACUGGGAAGACUGUUACCUCUGCCACUAUUGUCUAUCACCUGUCCCGACAAGGCAAUGGACCAGUUUUGGUGUGUGCUCCCAGUAACAUUGCCGUUGAUCAGUUGACUGAGAAGAUUGACAAGACUGGACUGAAGGUCGUCAGGCUGUGUGCCAAGAGCCGGGAGGCCAUCGAGUCACCAGUGUCCUUCCUGGCGCUGCACAACCAGAUCAGCAACAUGGACAGUAUGCCGGAGCUUCAGAAACUACAACAGCUGAAGGAUGAGACUGGUGAGCUGUCAUCUGCUGAUGAGAAACGCUACAGGGCUUUGAAACGCACUGCAGAGAGAGAGCUUCUUAUGAAUGCUGAUGUUAUCUGUUGUACCUGCGUCGGGGCUGGAGACCCUCGACUGGCCAAGAUGCAGUUCCGAUCCAUCCUGAUUGAUGAGAGCACCCAGGCCACCGAGCCAGAAUGUAUGGUGCCCGUGGUGCUGGGAGCCAAGCAGCUCAUUCUGGUGGGUGAUCACUGCCAGUUGGGUCCUGUGGUGAUGUGUAAGAAGGCAGCCAAAGCAGGUCUGUCCCAGUCCCUGUUUGAACGCUUGGUGGUCCUAGGAAUCCGGCCAAUCCGCCUGCAGGUCCAGUACCGCAUGCACCCGGCUCUCAGUGCCUUCCCCUCCAACAUCUUCUACGAGGGCUCCCUGCAGAAUGGCGUGACUGCAGCUGACCGUAUCAAGAAAGGCUUUGAUUUCCAGUGGCCGCAGCCGGACAAGCCCAUGUUCUUCUACGUGACUCAGGGUCAGGAGGAGAUUGCCAGCUCUGGAACCUCCUACCUUAACAGGACGGAGGCGGCCAACGUAGAGAAGAUCACUACCAGGCUGCUGAAGGCUGGAGCCAAACCUGACCAGAUCGGCAUCAUCACCCCAUAUGAGGGUCAGCGCUCCUACCUGGUCCAGUACAUGCAGUUCAGCGGCUCCCUGCACACCAAACUCUAUCAGCAAGUGGAAAUUGCCAGUGUGGAUGCCUUCCAGGGCAGAGAGAAGGACUUCAUCAUCCUGUCUUGUGUUCGUGCCAAUGAGCACCAGGGCAUCGGCUUCUUGAAUGACCCACGUCGUCUCAACGUGGCGCUGACCAGAGCCAAGUAUGGUGUGAUCAUUGUGGGAAACCCUAAGGCCCUCUCCAAGCAGCCGCUGUGGAACAACCUGCUGAACAACUACAAGGAGCAGAAAGUCCUCGUGGAGGGACCCCUCAACAACCUCAGGGAGAGCCUCAUGCAGUUCAGCAAGCCCCGCAAACUGGUCAACACCAUCAACCCUGGGGGACGUUUUAUGAGCACUGCGAUGUACGAUGCCCGCGAGGCUCUCAUCCCUGGCUCUGCCUACGACCGCAGCAAUGCUGCUGGACGUCCGUCCAACAUGUACUUUCAAACCCAUGACCAGAUUGGUAUGAUUGGGGGGGGGGCCGGUCACAUGUCUGCCAUGAAUAUUCCCAUACCCUUCAAUCUGGUGAUGCCACCCAUGCCUCCACCCAGUUACCUGGGUCAGACCAACGGCCCUGCUGCAGGUCGUGGAGCUAUGAAGGGAAAACCUGGCCGUGGUGGGCGGCAGAGGGUCCGUGGCUCGGGAAACCAGGGGUCCAGUCAGGGUAACGGACCAAACAGUCAGGUCAGCCAGGAUGGGGCCUCCCAGUCCUUCUCCCAGGGGCCACUGACACAAGGCUACAUCUCCAUGAGCCAGCCCUCUCAGAUGAGCCAGCCUGGCCUCUCCCAGCCAGAGCUGUCCCAGGACAGCUACCUGGGCGAUGAGUUUAAGUCCCAAAUUGAUGUGGCUUUGUCCCAGGACUCGACUUACCAGGGUGAACGCGCAUACCAGCAUGGUGGGGUGACUGGACUGUCACAGUACUAGAGUUUUGUCCUGCAGCUAAAAUGUAAAAUCCACCGUAAAUUCACCUUUGACCAAUGUGACGGUGUCUUUGAAGUAAUUCAGAAAAGCUGAACAGGGCAGUUUUACAGGCUAUUAAGGUCACUUGAAGAAGGGAGCUAGGCUUGAGCUGAGCUUAGUUCAUCAGCUUUUUAAUCUGGGAAAUAAUAAAAACAUAAAAUGGAUACCUGUUUUCCUCUGCUACAACCGAAGCACCACCGAGUGAAAGCGACGGGAUAGCGAAACCAAACCAAUGACCAGCGAGAGAAAUCUGAGGGUAGAAGAAGAGCGCACGAACAGACGGGCGGGAAGAUGGCAGGAGAGGCCGAGUGAACAAGCGAGAGGCAGAGGCCGAUGUCCGUGCAAAGAGAAGGAGGGAAGUCGAGAAGAUGGCAGCGUGUGGUCGAGCUGCUGAGGGAAACAGAGGGGAGACCUGAACGGUCUCUAAUGGGAAUCCAAAUGAGGCUCAACUCCCAACAAAAUAAUCCAGCAAACCCAUUGAACCCACAGCCUCCAGAAAAGGAAGGAAAGCUAUCUCCUCUUCAGAUGGGGAUCCAAAGCUUUCCAGUUGAAUUUGAAGAACUAGUUCUCCAAACUUGCAGGGGGGCAUGAUUGCAGAAAGCCAUCAAACAAGCAACACAAAAUCCCCAUGCUAAAAGUCAAUUGGUUGCUCAUCCUGAAUCUUUUUAAAUUUGGUUUAUCAUGGGAGGAGAGCGGUACCAACAAUCUUCUAUUGGGCCCAAAAACCUCGACAGCCUCUGAAGGAAGCAGCAUUCGACACACCCUCUCGGUGAGGAAAUAAAAACACGGUUUCUGUGCUAUAGUCUGAGAUUAAAGAGCCUUGAAUUGAAAUACCUUUCAUUUGCCUUGAGAACCACUGGCUCACUCACAAGGUCUAAUGGGGUGGUUUCGACCACACAUCAGUGGUGGAGUGGCACGGGGAUUUCAGACUAUUUUUUUCAAGGCAUGACGCGCGAAUCCCACAGAUAUCGCGAUCAUCAUGGGACAGUUUUUCUUCUCUGAAGUACCUUUCUUAUCACAGAGCACAAAAUUGCAAAAAAGUCAUCGAAACUAUCAGACACGACCAGCAUUGGAUAUUCAACUCAGUGUCAUUUGAUGUUUCAGCGAAGGCUUUCCCUUAUUUUAAUCUUUUGAAAGCAGGGGUGGUUGUUGUCCCACAGUGCUUCAUGACCAGAUGUCUUUUUUUUUUUUCUUUUUUUUUUUACGCUCUGUGUACGCUUAGAUUGGCAAGUGCUUGAAUGCUUUGCAUCGAUUGAUUCCUCAGGGGAUUGUGGACUGUCAACAAUCGCCACACAGAUCCCUGCUUGAGGUGAAAGAAACCAAACAAGGGGGAAAGAAUGAUGUUAGUAGUCGAGGCUUACAGGCGGUCAUGGCAAUCAAUCCACCACAGGUAAGGAGUAGAAAAGGAAGGUGGCUGAGAGAGAGAAGGAUAUGAGAGUUUCUGGAAAACAAGUUCAGGUCAUUGCCAGGGUUGAAAAUUUAGAGGGAAACGUGUGGCUUUAGGACUGUUCAGUCCCAAUAAAGGACCACACAUUAGAUGUAGUUGUAAAACCCAGUGUCACAUCACAAAGCAUUUUGAUUUUGUGAAUGUUACCAUGGGAAGCAAUAUAGCCAGGCUGAUGACCAUAUUGCCCAGCCACACAAAUCUAACCAUAAUCAGGGGUUGAAAAAAUAAGACACAAAUGAAAUAUGUCAAGUUUCAACGCAACAUCAACAUGAAAGAUCUUUGGUUCCUGUGUAAUAACAUAUUUUGACACUUAACUAAACCCCAGUUACACACAGUGGAAAUGCUGAUGAUGGCAAGGAGGUAAAUGAAAAGUGAAUGAGAAACGUGAAUCAGUGCCUAUAACCAAUAACCUUCAGAUAAACAGCUGCUGCACAAGCAUGAAUGUAGUUAAAAUCAAACUACCAGCAUAAAAAAACUAGGACACCAGAGGGCUCAAAAAACACCACAGAAAAGGAGUUGUAAUGUUUUUUUUUUAUAUCAAUAUCAGGCCAGAUAAUGAGGUCAGUGAGUUUAGCAGGAAAAAAGCCACCUUCCUUCUCUGUGAAGUAAAAUAAACUGAGGCUGGUAGAAUCUAUUUUUCCUUCUGUGGACUUUUGAUUUGUGCAAAGAUGUUUUGCCUGCAUUAUGUAUUCUGAGAGUUCCUCUCGAGAUUUAUAUGGAUCCCAAACCCUCUUCUUGAAGAACUGUGUGAACCUGAACCUUGAGUUGAUCCAAACUUUGCUUUUGUCAGAUGAUUCGCUGCUUUGUGUGUCACGUUUUGUUCAGUUGGGUGUUAUUUUUAGCCAUUGUGUAGUUUUACUAAAAACCUGUUUUUGUAGCAACAGGAACGAGGCAGACAGUUUCCUUUUCUCCAUUAAUUUUUUAUCUUCUCCUCAAACUGUCCGAGGGAUUGUAGUUUUUUAACUCUUCCAGGAAAGACGCUUUCUGAACACAGUAAGAAUGUACUUCGCUGUUUCUUACCUGCUUCUCAUUUCUGCAGACAUGUGACAAUCAUGUUGUAAGUAGAUGCUGCCAUGUUUAAUUGACUUAGAAGUAGUUCUAUUUUGUUGGCUUUGUGCGAAUCUGUCAUUUGUUCAAUGAAUUAGUUUUACAUAUCAGACCGUUCCAUUGAAAUCCUAACAUGUUAUAGCUUUAAGAACCUGCUGCCGUAAUAUUAUUGUAUUGCUUUGGUGUUGCCCCCCCCCCAUCUGAGCCACAAUGAAUUGCAACAUGUGCAGUGAUUCAGUUGUAGAGUAGUUGUUAAACAUUUGCAUCCAAACCCUUGAUUCUUUACAUCAACAGGCAGCGAUUAAAUGAAUGGACUUGAGAGCUCAAUGUGAUGUAAAUACCUAUUGCAGUGAAGUUUCAUCACAACAUGGCUGUUCCUUGUUAAAUUGAAUCAAUAAAGGCUGUCAACUUGA